rnacentral:rRNA from 1 species
ACGAACGCUGGCGGCGUGCUUAACACAUGCAAGUCGAACGGAAAGGCCCUGCUUUUGUGGGGUGCUCGAGUGGCGAACGGGUGAGUAACACGUGAGUAACCUGCCCUUGACUUUGGGAUAACUUCAGGAAACUGGGGCUAAUACCGGAUAGGAGCUCCUGCUGCAUGGUGGGGGUUGGAAAGUUUCGGCGGUUGGGGAUUGACUCGCGGCUUAUCAGCUUGUUGGUGGGGUAGUGGCUUACCAAGGCUUUGACGGGUAGCCGGCCUGAGAGGGUGACCGGCCACAAUGGGACUGAGAUACGGCCCAGACUCCUACGGGAGGCAGCAGUGGGGAAUAUUGCACAAUGGGCGGAAGCCUGAUGCAGCAACGCCGCGUGCGGGAUGACGGCCUUCGGGUUGUAAACCGCUUUCGCCUGUGACGAAGCGUGAGUGACGGUAAUGGGUAAAGAAGCACCGGCUAACUACGUG